GAACUGCUUUAAGUGUCCCAUCAUUCCCCUGUUCGAAGAUAUUUCAGAUAGCGACCAGUAUGCUUCAGAGUUCAGGCCUCUCAGAUUCUCUCCAGAUCUGUCCCAUUUUCCACUGAUUUUGUUUCAGGCUACUGCUCAGGUGGAUCUGGGUCCGAACAUGGAUCACAAGACAAUCUCAAGUUAAAAGCCAUUGCCAGUUAAAGUAUAAUCUGCACCGUUCCUGCUGGAUGGCAAGACUCUGGUUUGAUGCCGCAGGGCCCAGUGAGCCGUUCCUCAUCUCUGGCAGCUCUUCGGGAUUCAUGAAUUGGAAAUAGAAAUGUUUCGGUUUGGUGCAGCUCUUUGACACUGUUUGCUCUCCAGGUCCCACAUCUUGCUAUAACCGGAGCACUGACUGCAUCAUUAACAAGUGAAGCUUUGCAGGGUUACUCCUGAAGUUAGAAAAGGGGUAAAGUUGUGUUUUUAUUUUUCCUUUGCUGCCCUUCUGGAGAUUAAGGUUUUGUUGCUAAACAUUCAAGGCUCCUCAACUCUUGACCCUCUUGUAACUAUGGAAUCCAGUCCACUUUAUGCCCCUUCCCGUAGCUAAUUGUGUUCGGUUCUGGCUAUCCUUGGGCUUUGCUGUUCUCAGUAUGAUGCGGGGAGGAC